rnacentral:rRNA from 1 species
GUACACGCUGUGACUAGCAUAUCAAUAAGCGGAGGAAAAGAAACUAACAAGGAUUCCCCUAGUAACGGCGAGUGAAGCGGGAAGAGCUCAAAUUUGAAAUCUUAAAGGGUUUCCCUUUACGAAUUGUAGUUUAAAGAAGUGUUUUCUGUUGAGGUUUUGGUAAAAGUUCUUUGGAAUAGGACAUCAUAGAGGGUGAGAAUCCCGUAUUUGACCUUUACUUUCAACUUUGUGAUACACUUUCAAAGAGUCGGAUUGUUUGGGAAUGCAGUCCAAAAUGGGUGGUAAAUUUCAUCUAAAGCUAAAUAUUGGCGAGAGACCGAUAGCGAACAAGUACCGUGAGGGAAAGAUGAAAAGAACUUUGAAAAGAGAGUUAAACAGUACGUGAAAUUGUCAAAAGGGAAGCGUUUGACACCAGUGUUGUUUUUCUGAAAAGUCAAUUAAAGAACUGUUUAUGCUAAGUUGUUUAGACUUUAUCAGCUAUCUGUUUAGUUUUGAGCUUUUCUUUAAUGCACUUUUCAGUUAACAAGUCAACAUCGAUUUCUUUUGCUGUAAAAAAGCUUGAGGAAGGUGGCUUGAGAUUCGUCUUAAGUGUUUAUAGCCUCUUGCCUAUGCAGUCGGAGAGAUUGAGGUCUGCAGCGUAGAUCCUUCGGGGCUAAAUGCAUUUGUGCUAAGUUAUAGCAUUUUAUAGACAACUUGUUGACUAUGAUUUGUCUUGUAGCUUACUCGCUUAUGUUAUUUUACCUACGCUUAGGAUGUUGAAGAUGUAGCACAUCAU